rnacentral:rRNA from 1 species
GAUGAACGCUGGCGGCGUGCCUAAUACAUGCAAGUCGAGCGAACAGAUAAGGAGCUUGCUCCUUUGACGUUAGCGGCGGACGGGUGAGUAACACGUGGGUAACCUACCUAUAAGACUGGAAUAACUCCGGGAAACCGGGGCUAAUGCCGGAUAACAUUUAGAACCGCAUGGUUCUAAAGUGAAAGAUGGUUUUGCUAUCACUUAUAGAUGGACCCGCGCCGUAUUAGCUAGUUGGUAAGGUAACGGCUUACCAAGGCGACGAUACGUAGCCGACCUGAGAGGGUGAUCGGCCACACUGGAACUGAGACACGGUCCAGACUCCUACGGGAGGCAGCAGUAGGGAAUAUUGCGCAAUGGGCGAAAGCCUGACGGAGCAACGCCGCGUGAGUGAUGAAGGUCUUCGGAUCGUAAAACUCUGUUAUUAGGGAAGAACAAAUGUGGAAGUAACUGUGCACGUCUUGACGGUACCUAAUCAGAAAGCCACGGCUAACUACGUG